AGCGAACGCUGGCGGCAGGCUUAACACAUGCAAGUCGAGCGGGCACUUUCGGGUGUCAGCGGCGGACGGGUGAGUAACGCGUGGGAACGUGCCCUCUGGUUCGGAAUAACUCAGGGAAACUUGAGCUAAUACCGGAUACGCCCUUUUGGGGAAAGGCUUGCUGCCGGAGGAUCGGCCCGCGUCUGAUUAGCUAGUUGGUGAGGUAACGGCUCACCAAGGCGACGAUCAGUAGCUGGCCUGAGAGGAUGACCAGCCACACUGGGACUGAGACACGGCCCAGACUCCUACGGGAGGCAGCAGUGGGGAAUAUUGGACAAUGGGCGCAAGCCUGAUCCAGCCAUGCCGCGUGAGUGAUGAAGGCCUUAGGGUUGUAAAGCUCUUUUAUCCGGGACGAUAAUGACGGUACCGGAGGAAUAAGCCCCGGCUAACUUCGUG
rnacentral:rRNA from 1 species